rnacentral:rRNA from 1 species
UUCUUGGUCCAAUUAGAGGAAGUAAAAGUCGUAACAAGGUCUCCGUUGGUGAACCAGCGGAGGGAUCAUUACUGAGUUUACGCUCUAUAACCCUUUGUGAACAUACCUAUAACUGUUGCUUCGGCGGGUAGGGUCUCCGCGACCCUCCCGGCCUCCCGCCCCCGGGCGGGUCGGCGCCCGCCGGAGGAUAACCAAACUCUGAUUCAACGACGUUUCUUCUGAGUGGUACAAGCAAAUAAUCAAAACUUUUAACAACGGAUCUCUUGGUUCUGGCAUCGAUGAAGAACGCAGCGAAAUGCGAUAAGUAAUGUGAAUUGCAGAAUUCAGUGAAUCAUCGAAUCUUUGAACGCACAUUGCGCCCGCCAGCAUUCUGGCGGGCAUGCCUGUUCGAGCGUCAUUUCAACCCUCAAGCUCCGCUUGGUGUUGGGGCCCUACAGCUGAUGUAGGCCCUCAAAGGUAGUGGCGGACCCUCCCGGAGCCUCCUUUGCGUAGUAACUUUACGUCUCGCACUGGGAUCCGGAGGGACUCUUGCCGUAAAACCCCCCAAUUUCCAAAGGUGACCUCGGAUCAGGU